AUAAUUUUGCCUUCUUUCAGACUUAUCAUAUACUGCUACUACAUUCUCUAAAGGGAAUGGAGCAAAUUGAAUUGGACGGAUUUUUAAUUCUUUGCCCACAAUCAUACAUGAAUUUGAUCAUGGCAGGGCAUAGAAAUUUUACCACUUCCUGUGAGUGUAAUUUCUUACGAACUCCAUUAGAGUUAUAAUCAAACUUUGUUGUCUUUGUUUGUAUAUAAAAUCAAAUCGUAGAAUUUCAAGAAUUUGNN
rnacentral:lncRNA from 1 species